rnacentral:rRNA from 1 species
UGCAGUCGAGCGGUAGCACAGAGAGCUUGCUCUCGGGUGACGAGCGGCGGACGGUUGAGUAAUGUCUGGGAAACUGCCUGAUGGAGGGGGAUAACUACUGGAAACGGUAGCUAAUACCGCAUAACGUCGCAAGACCAAAGUGGGGGACCUUCGGGCCUCAUGCCAUCAGAUGUGCCCAGAUGGGAUUAGCUGGUAGGUGGGGUAACGGCUCACCUAGGCGACGAUCCCUAGCUGGUCUGAGAGGAUGACCAGCCACACUGGAACUGAGACACGGUCCAGACUCCUACGGGAGGCAGCAGUGGGGAAUAUUGCACAAUGGGCGCAAGCCUGAUGCAGCCAUGCCGCGUGUGUGAAGAAGGCCUUCGGGUUGUAAAGCACUUUCAGCGGGGAGGAAGGCGGUGAGGUUAAUAACCUCAUCGAUUGACGUUACCCGCAGAAGAAGCACCGGCUAACUCCGUGCCAGCAGCCGCGGUAAUACGGAGGGUGCAAGCGUUAAUCGGAAUUACUGGGCGUAAAGCGCACGCAGGCGGUCUGUCAAGUCGGAUGUGAAAUCCCCGGGCUCAACCUGGGAACUGCAUUCGAAACUGGCAGGCUAGAGUCUUGUAGAGGGGGGUAGAAUUCCAGGUGUAGCGGUGAAAUGCGUAGAGAUCUGGAGGAAUACCGGUGGCGAAGGCGGCCCCCUGGACAAAGACUGACGCUCAGGUGCGAAAGCGUGGGGAGCAAACAGGAUUAGAUACCCUGGUAGUCCACGCUGUAAACGAUGUCGAUUUGGAGGUUGUGCCCUUGAGGCGUGGCUUCCGGAGCUAACGCGUUAAAUCGACCGCCUGGGGAGUACGGCCGCAAGGUUAAAACUCAAAUGAAUUGACGGGGGCCCGCACAAGCGGUGGAGCAUGUGGUUUAAUUCGAUGCAACGCGAAGAACCUUACCUGGUCUUGACAUCCACAGAACUUUCCAGAGAUGGAUUGGUGCCUUCGGGAACUGUGAGACAGGUGCUGCAUGGCUGUCGUCAGCUCGUGUUGUGAAAUGUUGGGUUAAGUCCCGCAACGAGCGCAACCCUUAUCCUUUGUUGCCAGCGGUUAGGCCGGGAACUCAAAGGAGACUGCCAGUGAUAAACUGGAGGAAGGUGGGGAUGACGUCAAGUCAUCAUGGCCCUUACGACCAGGGCUACACACGUGCUACAAUGGCAUAUACAAAGAGAAGCGACCUCGCGAGAGCAAGCGGACCUCAUAAAGUAUGUCGUAGUCCGGAUUGGAGUCUGCAACUCGACUCCAUGAAGUCGGAAUCGCUAGUAAUCGUAGAUCAGAAUGCUACGGUGAAUACGUUCCCGGGCCUUGUACACACCGCCCGUCACACCAUGGGAGUGGGUUGCAAAAGAAGUAGGUAGCUUAACCUUCGGGAGGGCGCUUACCACUUUGUGAUUCAUGACUGGGGUGAAGUCGUA